rnacentral:rRNA from 1 species
CCUACGGGAGGCAGCAGUGAGGAAUAUUGGUCAAUGGUCGGGAGACUGAACCAGCCAAGCCGCGUGAGGGAUGAAGGUACAGAGUAUCGUAAACCUCUUUUGUCAGGGAACAAAGGCGGGGACGUGUCCCCGGAUGAGUGUACCUGAAGAAAAAGCAUCGGCUAACGCCGUGCCAGCAGCCGCGGUAAUACAGAGGAUGCGAGCGUUAUCCGGAUUUAUUGGGUUUAAAGGGUGCGCAGGCGGUCUGUUAAGUCAGCGGUAAAAGCCCGGGGCUCAACCCCGGCCCGCCGUUGAAACUGGCAGUCUCGAGUUGGAGAGAAGUAUGCGGAAUGCGCGGUGUAGCGGUGAAAUGCAUAGAUAUCGCGCAGAACUCCGAUUGCGAAGGCAGCAUGCCGGCUCCACACUGACGCUGAGGCACGAAAGCGUGGGUAUCGAACAGGAUUAGAUACCCCAGUAGUC